rnacentral:lncRNA from 1 species
GCGCACGCUGGCAGCCGGCGCGAUGGCGGCAGACGGGGACUGGCAGGAUUUCUAUGAGUUCCAGGAGCCGGCCGGGAGUGUCCGGGACCAGGAGAACUGUAACGCGAGCCCGGAGGCUGGAGCGGGGGCACACGCGGGCGGCGACAGCUUCCCGGCGCUGGCUUCCAGCCUGGAGGAGAAGCUGAGCCUGUGCUUCCGCCCCACGUCGGACGCCGACCCCCCGCGGGCGGCCGUGCGGCCCAUCACGGAGCGCAGCCUCUUGCAAGGGGACGAGAUUUGGAAUGCCCUGACAGAUAAUUAUGGGAAUGUCAUGCCUGUAGACUGGAAGUCGUCCCAUACGAGGACCUUGCAUUUGCUUACUCUGAACCUCUCAGAGAAAGGGGUAAGUGAGGACCU